rnacentral:rRNA from 1 species
AUACGUAGGUGACAAGCGUUAUCCGGAUUUACUGGGCGUAAAGGGCGUGUAGGCGGUCUUGCAAGUCAGAAGUGAAAUUCCUGAGCUCAACUCGGGCGCUGCUUCUGAAACUGCAGGACUUGAGUGCUGGAGGGGAUAGCGGAAUUCCUAGUGGAGCGGUAAAAUGCGCAGAUAUUAGGAAGAACACCGGUGGCGAAGGCGGCUAUCUGGACAGUAACUGACGCUGAGGCGCGAAAGCGUGGGGAGCAAACAGGAUUAGAUACCCUGGUAGUCCACACUGUAAACGAUGAAUGCUAGGUGUAGGGGGUAUCGACCCCUUCUGUGCCGCAGUCAACACAAUAAGCAUUCCGCCUGGGGAGUACGGCCGCAAGGCUAAAACUCAAAUGAAUUGACGGGG